UAUUUUCAGACACGGCUCUUGUUCUCGACACGAGAUGAUCUAACUGCAUGAUCACAACAUGAUUCUAGUCCUCUCAUCAAGAUAUGCACACAGGCCGGCAAGCCACCACUCAGCAGUGCGUUGAGCAGAAUUUGAGGUAUCACGAUGUUCCGUGCUUUCUUCAUCCCAGUUGCACUAAUCUAAUUGACGGGAUCAGUCCAGUGAUCAGUCCAAGUGCAGUAAUCUGAUGACAUACUGACAGUACAACCGAAAAGAAUGGAGUCAAUAUGCAUUCAGAACAAUGAUGUGAGCUAGAUCAAUAGCAGAAUUAGUUGACGGGAGAGGCGAAGCACCAGCAUACAUACCUCAGUUGCCUUGAGAACCACCACCGCACGAGGGAAGGAACCACUUUCGUUUCUGUGACUGUGCGGGUGCUGGAAUGUAUUUAUGGGGAAUAGAAGCGAUCAAGUCAAAGUACUCCCCACCUUCUCUGCAACGCCUCUGCAGGUCAGGGCAGCCCCAUAUGUUCAGGUUUUUGAGGGCUGGGAGCCGCUGCAGGAGACCCUGCGGAAAUUUCUCUAUCCCUGGACAGUCUUCAAUACCCAAGUGCUCAAGGGAAGUGAGACCAUCCAUCCCAUCUGGCAACGCUUUCAGUGCAUCGCAACACCACACGGAGAGUCUUCUCAGCUUGGUCAGAUCUCCGAGGUUUGAAGGCAGCGCCACCAAACUUGUGUUGUUGUAAAUACUGAUUUCCUCGAGGGAUGCGGGAAACUUGGGGAGCAGAGGAAGGAUUCCGUCAAGUUUCGAGCAACCCCAAAUGUACAGAGAUCGAAGGCGAGGAAAAUAACGGAGUUCCUCCACGGGCCAGCGGACAAUAUUGGGGCAUGAGUUGAUAGCAAAUUCUUCCACAGAAACCAAGCAGUCCCUAAGCCCAAGUUGCAAUUUGGAUUUAUUAAAUAUCGUUAUGAAGACGUCGUCACCCGCAAGCUCCAAAUAUCGUAGUGUGUCCAAAGGUCUUUGACUCUGGCUUUCCUCGCCGUCUGGAGGCAUCACCACAUCUACCAGCACAUAUGAUAUUUGUAAGUGGAUAAGAGAUGGCAAAGAGCCCAAAGGCAUCGAAAUAAGAGCUCCUGUAGAAUUAUUCCCUUCGCGACCAGAUAGAUUGAGAUAUGUGAGAACCGGUAACUUUGGAAGACUUGCAAGCUUAUCGCAAUUCUCAAUUUCUAGUUUUUCAAGCCGGGGAAACGUCAUCGAGCUAAGAAUCUCUCCAGCACUAUUUUCUGCCCAUCUGUCCAACUCAGGCAAAUCAAUUAAUUCCAUCCUCUUUAGCUUGAGGAAUAUUUGCAGAGAGGUAUUGUCUGCUUCACCUUCCACGUCGAUGUUCUUGCACAACGUGGUCAAGCUUUUCAUGCGCCGUAAAGACAGAUGCUCAAGAGAGGAUGACAACCAUACUAUUGGCAGGUCCUUACACCAUGGGCAUCCGGACAUAAUAAGUUCUCUCAAGCACCGGAACAUUUGAGGGUUUCUCAUCCAUUCCGAGAUUGUGAGGCCACCAUAACUAUGCACCUCCAAAAUUUUUAGCUUAUCAUGCGGUAGAAGAGAUUCCAAUACUUGUUCAUGAUUAGUGGCCUCACCAAUUGUAGACUUGUAAUAUUUAUAACGACAAUGAUCCCAAUACAACAACAGUUCAUUUAGAUUAUGUUUCUCAUGGAGAUUGGCCUUCGACCCACACUUUACUUCCCGCAAAUUAUACAAUUCCAACCUGUUGCCAAUAUGUCGUAGGUCUUCGAGCUCCUCGAUUCCACAUCCAUCUUCUGUGCCCACAACAAAUGUUGUUAGUGUGCGAAGGUUGUGUAGUACACUAAGUUUUGGAGGCAUUCGUUCCAAUCUAUCACACUCCAAGAGAUAAAUAUGGCAGAGCUUCCUCAUAGUUCUCAUACCCUCACGUAAAUAUUGUAGUAGGGAGCAGCCAUUAAGCCUCAAAGACAGUAAAUUAUACAACAUACAGAUUGAGUUUGGCAAGCUGACAAUCAUCGAGCCAGAGAGAUCAAGAUACCGCAAAUGUGUUGUGCGUGUGAGCAUAUGGACGAUUGAAGUAUCUCCACAACGAAUACUCAAUGCUCUUGAUGGCAUCAGUUUUGACUUCAUCAGAUCCUUGUACGAUGAUGGUGGCGUCAACAAUGUGCGAAUAUACAUAGUGCCGCCGAGUAACUGGCUGAUUUUGUUCAAUUGAUAAUCUCUUGAAAUAUGCAAGUGACGGACGUCAUUUCCAGGCAGGUUUUGCUGAAUUAACUCUUCCGCAUUUGCAAAUUCAUUUGCAACAUCUUUUGCAAGGUCAUGCAUCAAGUCGUGCAUUUUAUAUCUCUCUUGGUUUGAGGCAUGUGAAUAAGUCCAAUAGGGCCCCCUCACUAAUAUCACAGCUUGGAAGAAGGACCUCCAAGCCAACUCGUUGAAGAUAUAUUCCCCUUUUUGUGUCAAAGUCCAUCGUCCCCUCUUCAUGAACAUAACCGUUUGCUAUCCAUAGUUGAAUCAACAUGUCCUUCUCCAUCUCAUAGUCCUUGGGGAAAACUGAACAGAAGGCAAAGCAUUGCUUCAUCUCAGGGGACAAGUGCUUGUAGCUCAGUUUUAGUAUGGGCAAUACCUCAUCUUUACCUCUAUCGGUAUCACUAAUAUUGCAAUCUGCAAUGGCCUCCCAUUCUUGGAUUUGUUGUUUUGAACUCAUCAAUCCACCCAUUGUCUUCAGUGCAAGAGGCAGUCCCUUGCACUUCUCGCUGAUACAUCUGCCAAUUUUGACAAACUCUGCUUGCUCUUGCACUCCUUUACUAAAUGCUUUCUUUGAGAACAAUUCCCAUGAAUCAUCUUCACUCAAACACACUAAUUCAUGAGGUGGAAGGGUGCCCAUUAUUGACGCCACUUGUCGGCUUCUACUUGUGACAACUAUCUUGCUUCCUGAUCCACCAUUUGAAGAACAUAGUAGCGGCCUCAAGUCAUCCUCCCACUUCUUUUUGUCUUCGUUCCACACAUCGUCGAGAAUGAGUAGGAACCUUUUGCGGCCAAUAGCUUCCUGCAAUUUUCCUCGCAGCAGCUCGAUCGUGUCAGGCAGAUCACAUCUGCUAUUUGUAGCCAACUCAAUUACAGACCUAACAAGAGGAAUAGCUUCAAAAUUUUCUGACACGCAGUGCCACAUCCUCAAUUCAAAGUGCUUCUGAAUUUUGUCGUUGUUGUACACCAUCUUGACUAGCGUGGUCUUGCCCACACCCCCCAUUCCAAGGAUGGGCAGCACUUGUACAUGCUGCCGAUCUUGCUGGUCCAGCAACAGUUCCACCACCCCAUCUUUGUCAUCUUCUCUGCCAAAUAUCUCCAUGGAUUCAUCCAGUGCUGAGUGCGUCUGCCGAGGAAGAGCUUGCGGCGGUUCCUCCGCAAGCUUCACCAGGCCAAACUUUGCCAUCUCGGUCACGAGCUUGUCAAUCUUUUUGAGCACAUUCUUCAGGUUUCUGCUCGCUUUACAACGAAAUGCAAGACGAUUCUUUGAGGUGAAGUUGAUCAGUACCUUGCUUGCCACGGACUGGUCGCUCAUUGCCUCACGGCGCAGCGCCUCGUACUGGAAGUCGUCGAGGACGUCGUCGGCCUGGUACGCGGCGGCCUUGAGCUCCUUCAUCCACGUCCGGACGGCGUGGUUGGUCUCGCUCUUCGCCUCGGCGUCGGCCAGCAAGGACUGCACGUACACCAGGUGGCGCUCGAGCUUGCGCCGGUCAUCAUCGACGCCCCACAUGCUAGUGAUGCUCUGCACGAGAGUGUCUGCCGCCUUGCCGACGACGCCGCGCACCACGGGGAGCAGCAGCGACUCUGCCAUGUUUCCUUGCUCGCAGAGCUUCCUUGCUCUUCCUCACAGGCUCAACCACAGGGAGAUCUGAGAAGAGGCAACAGGUGAUGGAAAGAAGGAAGAGACUUGCUGGUAGGUGCAAUAAUGCACGCUGAUAUUUUUGGUCGUCAGCCUGUCAACCAUCAAUCCAAGCUGGCCCAGACCAUCAACAAUCCACGCAUGUGACGGGUAACAGUGAGUGACGGGAAAGUAUUGGAAUUGAUUCGGUACCAUAUAGUAUUGGCUAUAUAUAGGCCUAUAUAUAUAGUCAAUUUAUAGAAAAAGAUAAGCACAUAAAUAUUAUAAUCAUAUAAUCACAGUAGCAAACUUCCUUAGUUCUCUAGCAGCAAAAAUUUGGCCAUAACCAAUUCCUGCUGGCUCGGUCAAACAUUCCACAGCAAGGUGAAAACUCUCUGAUUACAGGGCCAAACAAAUACUAUAAAAUCUCAGAGUUCUGGACAUCAUUUGCAAACAACAAAUAAAUCGUCCAAGACCCAACCUCCGGUGGAUGCUCUCUUUCUUGGGCGUAUUUUCAGACACGGCUCUUGUUCUCGACACGAGAUGAUCUAACUGCAUGAUCACAACAUGAUUCUAGUCCCCUCAUCAAGAUAUGCACACAGGCCCGCAUGCCACCGCUCAGCAGUGCGUCCCAUAUAUACUUCCUACUUUCCUUUCGAAACGUUGAGCAGAAUUUGAGGUAUCACGAUGUUCCGAGUUUUCUUCAUCCCAGUGUUUUCUUCAUGUGCUCGAUCAUCCAGCACUGCUGCACAAAGGGAAAGCAAACAAUUAGUCCCAGUAUUCAUGCACGGGUCACAAUAUGACCGCAGAUCAAAUAUUUCACCACAAUGAAGUUUCACUAUGGUAACCUGUAGUUCACAGAAUAUAUAUAUGGCUCUAACGAUGUAAAACGGAUUAAUCAGGAAGCAAAGCCACCAUUAUUUUACCAUGGUACUCCU
rnacentral:lncRNA from 1 species